GGGGAGAAGAUAAGAUGGAUUAGCGGCGGACGGGUGAGUAACACGUGAGUAACCUGCCUUUGACACAGGGAUAGCCUCGGGAAACCGGGAUUAAUACCAGAUAACAUUAUCAGAUCGCAUGAGAAGAUAAUCAAAGCUGAGGCGGUCAAAGAUGGACUCGCGUCCCAUUAGCUAGUUGGUAGAGUAAUAGCCUACCAAGGCAACGAUGGGUAGCCGGCCUGAGAGGGUGAACGGCCACAUUGGAACUGAGAAACGGUCCAAACUUCUACGGGAGGCAGCAGUGGGGAAUAUUGCACAAUGGGGGAAACCCUGAUGCAGCGACGCCGCGUGAGCGAAGAAGGUUUUCGAAUCGUAAAGCUCUGUCCUAUGGGAAGAUAAUGACGGU
rnacentral:rRNA from 1 species